GGACGGGGCUUGAACUCUAUGUCAAACUCCCCGAGUUCAAUUGCCCACUUUAGUAAUCUGCCUGAGACGUCUGGCUUUUGAAGGAUGUGUUUCAGAGGCUGAUUGGUGAGCACUACAAUGGGGUGAGAUUGAAAAUAUUGUCGAAGCUUUCGUGCUGCCACUAUUAGGGCAAGAGCAAGUUGCUCGGCCAAAGUGUACCUGGUCUCCGCAUCAAGUAGGACUUUACUCACGUAGUAAAUGGGUUGCUGGGCUCUAUUGACCUCUUUUAUCAAGACGCCGCUUACAGCGUUUUGAGACAUGGUUAAGUAUAAUAAUAAAGUAUCCCCGGGCUCAGGUUUAGUGAGGAUAGGAGGAGACGCUAAUGUCUAUUUAAGCUCCUGAAAAGCCUUUUCACAUUCCUCAUUCCAUUCAAAGGAUUGGCUGCCUCUAAGAACUUUGAAGAAAGGGAAGCACUUAUCUGCUGCUCGGGACAUGAACUUGUUUAAGGCUGCUACCCUCCCUGUUAAUUUUUGCACUUCUUUCUUGGUUUGGGUGAUUCCAUUAUUGCCAAGGCCUGGAUCUUAUCGGGGUUAGCUUCUAUCCCCUGAUGAGUGAUCAUGAAGCCUAAAAAUUUUCCCGAAGCUAUACCGAAUACACAUUUUUCUGGGUUGAGCUUCAUCCGAUAUUUUCGUAGGAUGGCGAACACCUCAUCCAGGUUGGAUAUGUGUUGCUCUACCUUCUUACUCUUUACAACCAUGUCAUCAACAUAGGCCUCGAUGUUCUUCCCUAUCAAAUUAGCGAAGACUUUGUUGAUGAGCCUCUGAUAUGUCGCCCCAGCAUUUUUCAACCCAAAUGGCAUCACCCUAUAGCAAUGUAUGGCUGAAUCAGCCAUGAAUGAAGUCUUCU
rnacentral:lncRNA from 1 species